rnacentral:rRNA from 1 species
UAAAAGUUCGAAAAGAGAGAUUCAACGUCAGCAUGUACAGUAUUGACGUGAGUAGUGAUGUCAGUUUUAUUGGGCGGGUCAAAUCAAACAAUUAUAACUGACACAUUUUCAUGUUAUUUUUAUUGCUGUAUUAUUGUCGGCGUGCACUUCUCUCUUAGUAGGACGUCCCGACCCGUUGAGUCUUAGCCUACGGCCCGAAUGGAUGCCUUUAAUAUUUUUAUAUUAAAAUCCUUUGGUGUCUCCUGGCCUAAGUGCUCGACGGUGAAAAAUGAUAUGGUAUUAAGUCGCAAUUUAUUGUGCGUCCGGCCUGCCGCAAGUUUAUUGACAAUUUCUGUACACAUAGACUAUGUCCUAAGUGUAUGGUGUUGUUGGCUGUUUGCAUGACAGUGCUCUUGGACAGGCUUAGUAUAUACCUGUCAGGACGCUUAGGCUUUGGG